CUGAAAAUGAGAAUUCAAACUUGAAUAGGGAAAACAAGCACGUGCAUCAACUAGUGGAGUACCCUCGCUCAACAGAUCCAAAAUAGCAUGGAAAUUAGGCUGCCAAAUCUUCUUUCAGGAAUCCAGGACAGGAUGAACUUUCCAGGCUUGGUGAAUAGAUUGUUCAUAGUUCCGAGGGUAAAAGAGCUUUAGCUCGGGUACUUUGCCAUGAACUUCACGACAAGUUCCUCCAGCAUGGUCUGAACUCAGGGAUUGGACAAAGAAGACAUGCUAUUUAAGCUAUACAGUUCUAUAAGUGGUCAAAGCAUGGAAAGAAUAGAAGAGCUUCUCCAGGAGGACCAGAAUGUCAAGCGGAGGAAAGAGCGUAUCCAGAAACAGUCCUCUAUUCUUUCCAAGCUUACUACACAACUCUGUAUUAAUGAUAAUCUGGCAGCCGCUGCAUCCACCUAUUCCAAUGAAGUAGAAAGUUCAACCAUUGCUGGCCCAUCUUCCCGGGAGGUCUGGAGAUGCUACGUUUGAUGCUGCUGUCAGCGGUCCAAACCUAUCAUAUGGGGAUUCUAGAUCAAAUUGUCUCAGUCGCCGGAACAGUGAUCCUUUUCAUAAUGGUGAUAUAAUCCCUGGCUGCCGACGA